rnacentral:ncRNA from 2 species
UCGGACCAAUCGGGCGCCGGUAGGCUGAUCGAGGCGUUCGGUGAGGGAACCCGGUGGGAAUCCGGGACUGGCGCGCAACGGUGACGGCCGCGGGUGUCAUGACAUCCGCCGGGCCGGAGUCCGACUACUCGCCGAGUGCUGGUUUCCGAU